GCGUUCGUGGUGUAUCGGUAACAUUGGGUCUUCCCAUUAAUCUCUUGGGUUGUGUUCUGGCCUAGCACCGGGUUCGACUCCCGGCGGACGCA